rnacentral:rRNA from 1 species
UACGUAGGUGGCAAGCGUUGUCCGGAAUUAUUGGGCGUAAAGCGCGCGCAGGCGGUCCUUUAAGUCUGAUGUGAAAGCCCACGGCUCAGCCGUGGAGGGUCAUUGGAAACUGGAGGACUUGAGUACAGAAGAGGAAAGUGGAAUUCCACGUGUAGCGGUGAAAUGCGUAGAGAUGUGGAGGAACACCAGUGGCGAAGGCGACUUUCUGGUCUGUAACUGACGCUGAGGCGCGAAAGCGUGGGGAGCAAACAGG